GCGUUGGAUAGCUCAGCUGGUAGAACAUGAGACUCUUAACUCUCAGGAUUCCAGGUUCGAGCCCCACAUUGGGCA